CAAACGUCACAUCUUUGCUAUUUUAUUUUCAAAUAAUUAUUUUAUUCUAUUUUCUUUAAUAAUUCUUUAAUAAUAAUCCUCUUCUAUUUGUUUUACCUUUUUUCCCGUUAAAAAUUGGUUGGCGCCCUCUUUCGGUAUUUAUAGGCAUAUCUCAACAUUCUUGUUCUAUCUCAGAAUUCACAUUCUUAUUCAAUCGUUCUGUGGUUCAUGACAGUGACUUCGCACUGUCAUAGCCACCUUUGCACUGUCGUCUCUCGUUUCAAAUUUUAAGCCCCCACUCACGAACUCUGUCAAUGUCAAGUCAAACCCUUUCUCUUUGUCAAAAUGAAGAAUAUUUUUUCAUUAAAUUCUAAAAUCUACUUAAGGCAAUGUCUGGCCUCAUAGCCACAUUUUCAAACAGACGUUCUUAAUUGGGUUUUCUGGACAAAUAAGAAUCUUCACCGGACAACCCUUCACCUCGUGGGAGGACUCCCUGAACCUGGAGCCCCCAAUAUCGCCGGCGAUGCUACAGUAAUUUAGCAUAGACACCACACCAUCAACCAACACCUGUAGGCCUGGUGGCCAGAACAUCCACGUCGCCAGAGCCCGUUGCAGAACAACAGCAAGACACCAAGAACCCGCAGACAGAUACCAAGUGCCAUCGAUAAGUAUAAUCUCUGAUCUGUAAAGUUUCGGCAAGGUCUUGUAAAUUAUUUUUUUGAUACUUUAAUUAUGUCUUUUAUGAAAAAUAAACAUGAUUAGUUAAA
rnacentral:lncRNA from 1 species